GGGAGUACGGCCGCAAGGCUAAAACUCAAAGGAAUUGACGGGGACCCGCACAAGCGGUGGAGCAUGUGGUUUAAUUCGAUGAUAACCGAAGAACCUCACCAGGGUUUGACAUGCAAGUGGUAGCGACCGGAAACGGAAGCGACCCGCAAGGGAGCUUGCACAGGUGUUGCAUGGCUGUCGUCAGUUCGUGGCGUGAGCUGUAUGGUUAAGUCCCAUAACGAACGCAACCCCUAUUCUGUGUUAGAAAUGUCACGGAAGACUGCCCGGGCAACCGGGAGGAAGGAGGGGACGACGUCAAGUCAGCAUGGCCUUUAUACCCUGGGCCACACACAUGCUACAAUGGCGACCACAACGGGUUGCAAGGCGGCAACGCUAAGCUAAUCCUCAAAAGUCGUCUCAGUUCGGAUUGGGGGCUGAAACUCGCCCCCAUGAAGUUGGAAUCGCUAGUAAUGGCCGGUCAGCUAUACGGCCGUGAAUACGUUCUCGGGUCUUGUACACACCGCCCGUCAAAUGGGAAAAGUUGGGGCUCGCUGAAGCCCGCCGCAAGGCGGACCAAGCGGGAACCAGCGAUUAACAUUAAGUCGUAACAAGGUAGCCGUAGGGGAAUCUGCGGCUGGAUCACCUCCUUUCUAAGGAGUA
rnacentral:rRNA from 1 species